GCCGACUCCCAAUUCUGCCGACAUAGCGAGAGAGAGAGGGGGAGAGAAAGGGAGGAGGAGGUCACGGCUAAGGGGAGGGAGGAAGGAGAGGUCCGGUUUCGACGAUCCAACUCGGUGACAAGUAACGAGCCGGUCUUUUAGGAGGUGCCGAAACCGUAAGUUUGGCAUACUCCAGUCGAAUGAAAGGUAACGAGCCGGUCUUUUAGGAGGUGCCGAAACCGUAAGUUUGGCAUACUCCAGUCGAAUGAAAGGUGAGUGUGUCUGAUAUGGUUCUUCUCAAUAAGAUAUUGCCAUGGUGGUAUGUAUAUAUCUUGCUAAUGGUGUUUUAGCUUUCAAUAUGAUUAUUGAUAUGUAAAUAAUGCAGUGGAGGUGAUUAUAUAUCAAUGAUAUCAUGCUAAUCGAGGUUUAGCUAUUGAUAUGGAUAUAUGUGGUGGAAAUUUGUAUACCAUGCUAUAUGUUGUUUUAGCUAAUGGUAUGCAUGCUUGUUGUAUGUUGAUUGUACCCGCGAAAGGAUUGUGGAGUGAGUCACACCAUAUCGUGGGCCGUGCCGUCUAAUUAACGGUGAAUGGGAGUGUGGUGUGCGGGACACAAUUCCUUGGGUACAUGGGAUGUGGCAGACGUGCCACUGUAUGUUGGUGUUUAUACAUGUGGUUAUACGAUUGAGUACUUAUGUUGAGUUUCGUGUGAUUUACAUUCAUGCCGUUAUUGUUAUGUGGUUGUUUAUUGAAUAAUAUUGCUAUGUUUGGCAGAUGUGAUGGUUAUAACUAAUGUACUCAUAUGGGUAUUGCAGUUAUGUUGGUGGUGAAUAUUCUUAUUGAUAUUCUUUUGGGUAUUGUGACAUUUUAUUGAGCAUUUCUAUAUCUCACACACUCUGGCUUUCCUUUUUGGACUGCCAGGUAGCAGGUGGCUUAGAGUGGGUCCACUACUGGUCAACGCUUUGGAGAGUGCUGAGACUAGUCUCGGGUGAUGUCGUUGGUUAGAUUGUUGUGUAGCUGAUUCGUCUAGAAGUUAACCUAAAUGUUUGUAAUUAAUUGGAGCGAGGGAUAUUUAUUAUAACUUGUGAGUUGAGGUUUUGGGCGUUGAAUUGGUUGUAUUUUAAGUAAGAAGUCUUCCGCUAAUUUGUAUUC